GGCAGCAGUGGGGAAUAUUGCACAAUGGGCGCAAGCCUGAUGCAGCCAUGCCGCGUGUAUGAAGAAGGCCUUCGGGUUGUAAAGUACUUUCAGCAGUGAGGAAGGCGGAUGCGUUAAUAGCGUAUUCGUUUGACGUUAGCUGCAGAAGAAGCACCGGCUAACUCCGUGCCAGCAGCCGCGGUAAUACGGAGGGUGCGAGCGUUAAUCGGAAUUACUGGGCGUAAAGCGCAUGCAGGUGGUGUGUUAAGUCAGAUGUGAAAGCCCGGGGCUCAACCUCGGAAUAGCAUUUGAAACUGGCACACUAGAGUACUGUAGAGGGGGGUAGAAUUUCAGGUGUAGCGGUGAAAUGCGUAGAGAUCUGAAGGAAUACCAGUGGCGAAGGCGGCCCCCUGGACAGAUACUGACACUCAGAUGCGAAAGCGUGGGGAGCAAACAGGAUUAGAUACCCUGGUAGUCCACGCCGUAAACGAUGUCUACUUGGAGGUUGUGGCCUUGAGCCGUGGCUUUCGGAGCUAACGCGUUAAGUAGACCGCCUGGGGAGUACGGUCGCAAGAUUAAAACUCAAAUGAAUUGACGGGGGCCCGCACAAGCGGUGGAGCAUGUGGUUUAAUUCGAUGCAACGCGAAGAACCUUACCUACUCUUGACAUCCAGAGAACUUUCCAGAGAUGGAUUGGUGCCUUCGGGAA
rnacentral:rRNA from 1 species